rnacentral:misc_RNA from 1 species
GAAUGAUUAAUCUAACUGAAUCAAUUUUUGAUUUAGCAAGCGUAGGGCCAUCGAUUAAGACAACAUCCCCCACUUAGUUCCCAAUCCAAGUAAAAAUUUCCUUCGUCCAAACGUGUAAAGGAAUGCCAUAUGCCCUUAGAUAAGCUAGGCGCUUUGAAGGUGUGGAAGUAACCUGCCAUGGAUGUAUGUCAAUGAACCACUGCUGCAACCAUGAGGGGUCUACACUAAGGAAAUGUUUCAUGAGUUUCUUCCACUCAAAGGUUAGGACAGUACUACCACCCAUAGCAAGGACCUUCACCUUAAAAACUCCAUCUGCACAGAAGUAUUCCUCGAGGUUUGGAAUGGUGUUGAUGUUCAGUGCUGUCGCAACCACCGAUCGAGAUAACCAAUCCAUAUUCUCACUAUUAGGGGUGAAGCGUCCUCCUAAAAUGAAGUCUUUCUGGUCAGUGAGAGGGGGCAUACCUGAGCAUACGUCAAAUCCCUUGACUUCCUUGUUCAUGCCUGAAGGUUCUGCAUGGUUGGCGUCAUUGGGUCUUAUGUUUUGCAUGCUCACCUGGUUCUGCUCAGGCUGGUCGUGCCUAUUUCUGUGCACAGCUUUGUUUCUCCAAUCGCCUCUGUUUUUUCUGGGAUCUCUAUGGUCAUUUGUUGUAGCAAGAGUAGUCCAAGCAGCUUCGCAUAAGGACAAACAGAGAAAAAUACAUCCACCAUACUUCUUCAAGGGAAACUCCUGCUUGUUAUUCUCUGUUCUUUUUGAGAGUUUCUUCAUUUGUGGAAGGUAAUGAAGAUAUUUGCAGAUUACAAAUGACAUAAUAAGUGUGAAUAUCUCAGUAUAUAGAGCGAUA